GAUGAACGCUGGCGGCGUGCCUAAUACAUGCAAGUCGAGCGAACAGACGAGGAGCUUGCUCCUCUGACGUUAGCGGCGGACGGGUGAGUAACACGUGGAUAACCUACCUAUAAGACUGGGAUAACUUCGGGAAACCGGAGCUAAUACCGGAUAAUAUAUUGAACCGCAGUGUUCAAUAGUGAAAUACGGUUUUGCUGGCAGUUAUAGCUGGAUCCGCGCCGCAUUAGCUAGUUGGGAAGGUAAAGGCUUACCAAGGCGACGAUGCGUAGCCGCCCUGAGAGGGUGAUCGGCCACACUGGAACUGAGACACGGUCCAGACUCCUACGGGAGGCAGCAGUAGGGAAUCUUCCGCAAUGGGCGAAAGCCUGACGGAGCAACGCCGCGUGAGUGAUGAAGGUCUUCGGAUCGUAAAACUCUGUUAUUAGGGAAGAACAAAUGUGUAAGUAACUAUGCACGUCUUGACGGUACCUAAUCAGAAAGCCACGGCUAACUACGUG
rnacentral:rRNA from 1 species